rnacentral:lncRNA from 1 species
ACUUGAUCCCCUGGAAAUGUCCUACUUCCUGCUCCUCCCCAGGCCCUGCCUAGUGGGACCACGUCAUUCUCUAUUCUCAUGGACCUCUAUACCCCUCCUCUCUGAGUUCAGGUAUUCUGGUACCUGCCCACAGCAGGGAGAACAACAGACCACAUGUCCAGUCCUUGCCCAGCCCAGAUUAUGCUAUAAAGACGUUUUUUGAAAGAGAAAGAAAGAGGUGACAUUCUGUGGAGGGAUCUUAAGGGACCAGGCCUAAUCACAUCGGGGACUCGAGGCCUCCCUUCCAGGCUUGGCAGGCAGAGUAUCUCAAGAUGAAGAGAAAGACAUUUUCCCUUGCAUGCUGGCCGCUGUUUCAUCUUCUACUACUCUUAGGAAACGCUGUAACUUCUAAUGCUAACACUACAGCCACCACCCUUGGACAAACCACAUCACCCAGGGGAACUAACACAACAGCUAUAACCUCCAGUGGGAACAUCACGACCACCUCCCUCGGACCAACCACACCGUCCAGGGGAACUAACACAACAGCUAUAACCUCCAGUGGGAACAUCACGACCACCUCCCUCGGACCAACCACACCGUCCAGGGAAACUAACACAACGGCUAUAACCUCCAGUGACACCAGCACAAGUACUGCCCCUCCAAGGAAAGAGGAGAACCUUAGCGGACAACUGACACCAUGGGAAGUUGUUCUGGUCACUCUGGCCUCGGUUGCAAUGGCUGUGAUUCUCGUCACCGGGCUUCUCUUCCAUUUCAGAAACUCUCCAGGCCUCAGAAACCUCUUCGAUGUUAAUCUCUUACCAACUGCAUGGCCAAGCCCCUACGGGACCAGGGCAACUGCAACUGACUUCAGAGGAGACCCUUCUCCCGUAGUCAUGGAGCUGACUGGGAGGCGGGAAUAGCACUGAGCUCCCUGAAGGCAGACGCAUCACCAAUGUGUGGGGGUAGGGGGCUGACCUGGGGGAGCCUGAGUAUUCCUCCUGUCCGAAGGACUGUCCCUCCCAGCUCCAUUUCAGCCUCUGACUGUCCUCCUUCCCACUUGGUUUUUCCAGACCAAAACAAGGAGGCUGUAGCUGUGAACGAAUUAUUAAAUAAACAAUUCUGAUAUAUGUGGAACCA